ensembl:lincRNA Gm30852 predicted gene, 30852
CAAGACAUUGGCCACUUACUCCUUGUGAUGGUAAUGAACAAGCAGAGAAGGCAGAAUCCCUCCCACGAUGGAUUUCUCACUCCUGUGAACAAAUGUCCACCCCCUUCCCAACUGCAAGAGGACUCACGCUGCUCUCAGCCUGAGGCAGAGAAGCUCUUCAGUAGAAGGCAGCAGCUAUUGCACAGACUCCUACAUGGUCAGAAUAUGGGGAACAAGAGUGAGCCCUCAGCCUUAAAUGGGUUAUCUGUCAUACACACCCAAGGCCCAGGGAACAUUUGCAGAAGGAGGGCAGAAAAACAAACAAACAAACAAACAAACAAACAAACAAACAGAAAAACAAGAGCAGGAGGACGGGAAGGGGUGUCAGGAACUGCUUCUGUACAGAUCUAGCAUUGCUGUUGAAACCAUGAGCACACAGCAGCUAUGGAUACCUGCAGAAGACUUAGGCCACAGGAGCUCCCAUCUCUGUUGAAGAACUAAAGGCAGAAUCCAGACUUAUGCUAUAUGACAUGAAAGUUGAAGGGUGACCAAUGACAGGGGAGAAAUGGCACCCAGCCGUGGUGAGGAAGAGAGAAUAUUGGGGCAGAACCCACUACACGUCAGGCAUGUUGCCAAGUGUUGGAGAGGAUAUACAGUUGAAGAAAUUCCCUUUCCAGGCUGAGGCUGCCGAAGCCCAUAAAGAAGGUCAACUAAUGAUGGCACCGCAUGUCAAAAAGAACAUAGGAAA